UCUACAUCCUUUUGGUUAGGGGUAAUGAUUUAAAAAACACUGUAAAUCCACAGCAUGUUAUUCUACAUUAUGAAUGAUAAUAUACCACAUUAUGAAGUGGAAAAUAAAUUCAUUCUUAAAUUGUGUGAAAUGCUAGAAAUUAUUCAAUUUUCUUUGUGAGUCAAUGCUUUCUAGUUUUUUUUUUUUUUCCGACAGAGUCUUGCUCUGUCACCCAGGCCGGAGUGCAAUGAUAUAAUCACAGCUUGCUGCAGCCUCGAUCUCCCAAGCUCAAGCGAUCCUCCCAUGUCAGCCUUCUGAGUAGCUGGGACUACAGGCACGCGCCACCAUGGCUCUGUCCCCUUUUUAAUGAGGAACUAAUAGGCAAGUAGGAGACUAGGCAGAGGACAUAAUAUUGUCGUUUAUUCAGAAACAGAAAUGUAUGAUGACAAAGAUCAUGGACCCUGCAGCCAGAUAUACCUGACCUUCUACAGUUGCCCACCAGUGCACUAACCAUGCAGCUUAGCAUUAACACCAUCCUUUGGAACCUCCACUGGCUCCUCUGCAAAAUGAGAAUAAUGAGAGAAUCUAUCUAUUCGUUUCCUGGAACUGCUCGAACAAACACCGCAAACUUGUGGCUUAAGACGACAGAAACUAUUCUCUCUCCGUUCUGGAGGCCAGAAAGUCUGAAAUUAGAAUGUCAGCAGAGCCAGGCUUCCCACGAAGGUUCUAGAGGAGAACCUUCCUUCCCUACCCCUGCUCCUGGCGGCUCCUGGUGCUGUCUUUUGGCAGUAUAACCCUAACCUCUGCCUCCAUCUUCAUGUGGCCUUCAAUGUCAGCUAUAUACGUAUAAGUAUACAUAUGUAUGGAUAUAUAACUUUUGUUAUUUACUAGAUUUAUCAAAGAUUUAUUUCAUUAUUUCACCAAACAAAAUAGUAACUUUUAAUAUUUUUUACUCUUCU
rnacentral:lncRNA from 1 species